UUCUUAGUCGUUUAACCUCUCUCUGUUUCCCGCUUGCAGACAUGUAGGAUUUUGUGCGCCGAUCUGGUGUAUUGUUGUUCUUAGUUGUACAGGGGAACGCGAAUACAUGGAUUUGUUCGUAGUCGAUGUGAGGCCCCCGUGAUUUUGUUUGUUUGGCUGUUCGUAUGAUUCUACCUAGUUCAUUUGAUUAAGUUGUCGUCUGUCGGGAACCUCCGUUCAGUUGUUCUGACCUCUCAUGGUGGAGUAAUAUCAAGAUAUAUUAAGCACACACACAGAGCACCUCUGCAAAUCAUCUCGUAGCUGUUUUUAGGUAGCCCAUUAUUUGCAUGUUUUUAACUGAAUUUCAUGUAGGUUUUGCAUUGUCUGAAUCGAUUCAGUUUUCCUUUUUGUUACUCCUGUUAGUGAUAGGGAUGUCAGUGUGUCAGGUGGAUGUAAUAGAUAGAAGGAGAGCAGAUGAUUUGGGAAACGAGAUGGAUUAAUUCCCAUUGGUUUUGCCAUCUCAGCUUAAUUAGCUGUUAUUUUCCUCGUAUACGUGAGCGAGCAUGUGCAUGUGCGGGUCAAUUGACUGAAGUAUCAAUUUGCUCAUCUCACGUACCAGCACAUAAUUCCCUCUCACUUUGUUUCUUCAUGCCUCUUCUUGUUUCUGCACACCUAGAUGCCUACUGAACACUUGUCCAAAAAAUGGAGCAAUGGAGUGCUCUUUGAACACUCCAAAGACUCCAAACCUCCAAACAGAGUUUUCUCUGCUUGUCAAUGUCAGUCUUUUAUUAGCUCAGCUUAUUUUCUUAGUCUUCCUUUUUAGCUCAGUCUUUUCUUCAGAGUUUAGUUGGCUGACAUCACUCACGGCAAUUAAUCCACAAAAGUUGAGUUUACUUGGCUGAGUCUUUCAUUCAUUCAUUUUGUUAUUUAGUCUCUCAGUAAUUUCAUUACUUCAUUUUCAGAUAUUGUGAUUCUCUCAGUCUUCAGUUUUUUCUUCAUUCUUGUCUUUUGUCUUCAUUCUUUACUCAUUCUCUUAUUUUAUUCAGCCCUAUAUACUUUACUUUUUAUUCAGUUCUCAGUUAUUCUUUCUUCAUUUUGUUCAUUUUUAUUCUUUAUAAUAUCUUAAUCACUCUUUCUUCAUCAUUCCUUUUUGAUCGGUCUUUCUCAGUGUCUUUCUUCUAAAUGGUCAUAAUCACUCUCUCAGUCUCCACUCUCUUUUUUCUUCAGUCUUCACUCUCUUUCAUCAGUCCUCACUCCUCACUCUUCAUUCUUUUUCUAGUUCAGUCUUUUCUUCAGUUUGUCUCUGUCUCAGAUUUCGUCAGUGUCUCUACUUGACUUAUUCUCUCACUGUUUUAAUAACGUGCAAACCUAGAGCACAUAUAUGAACUGGUCUAACUUGUGUGUUAUUCUCAGUCUCAGCCUAGGUCAUUCUCUUCUCUUUAUUAUCUCUCAGUUUUUCCUCUUAAGUUUGAUCAUUUUAUCAUUCAUUUUUUCUCAGUCUCAGCUUCUUAGUUUUAGUCUUCAUUUUCUUGUUAAUCUCAUUCAUUGUGUGUGAUUUGCUUGUUACCUCAGUCUUCAGUUUCAAGUUACACCACUUCAUAUAUGUGCUCUAGGUUUGCACGUUCUUAGAAGUUGUAUUUGCUUGUUGGGUUUCUAGGAGCAAGAGUUUGAUACUUUUACUGAGUAAGAGGUAGGUGUCUCAUGGGGCGUCUCUCACGGCAUGGCAAGCCACGUGGACAAAGAAUUGGAUUUGUUGUAUCCUUUUGCCAAUUCAGUUUCGAGAUCAAGACAUUGUGUUGAAGUGGUACAUGAUUUCAUCAAGAAAGAGAGAGGUAAUAAAAAGUAGCAGGAUGAGACGGGGUCACAUGCCUAUGCUGAGACGGAAGGAGGAACAAUAGGCUAAUACUUUUACGGACCAUGUAUCUGCUACACCAUCGGCUCCGCCUGUGACACCUUGUGUGCAAUCCUUUAUGCACGACAUUGACGGUCUCGAAUACAAGCACACAUGGUGGUUUCUCACUGCUGCACCGCCACUCAGUUGAAUUUUUUUCCACCAUAGAAACCGUAUAAGCUGGACAAGCAUUUCCUAACUCGGUAUAGCUUUUUGGUUAAUAAGCUGUGAUAAGUCAAGCGAGAGAUCUCAGGAUUGCUUCUCCCCUGGUAUUUUGAUGCAAAACAACUUUUGGGGGAGUUGUACAUGAUUUUGGAUCUAGAAUGAAGACAAGAGGUUCUGGAAAGCAGUAGGGGGAGGGGGAGAAGUCGUGACACACCUGUGCUGAGAGUGUAUGAGGUACAAAGGGUUGCCCUAACCUGGAGGCAGCUGGUAUACCAGGCCACCGAAAAUUUACUGAGAUGGCGACGUGAAAGCCUCAACAAAAGCUGAAUUGUUGGGCUUCUCUGUUUAUAGUUCUUAUGUACGAGAGCCAAGUUCACUAUAGGCCGAUGUAUAAAUAAUGAGUUCUUGCAAAUAAAACCAGGAAAACACAGACUGGGUGGACUAAUCUGAAUGAAUUUAUUUGUUUU